UUGCGCAUGUCCACCUGGCUUAACAGGAGAAACCUGCAAUGUCAAAGGUUAAAACUUAAACAUAUGCUUUCUUCACAAUUGGUAAUUUUAAUGUGAUUAUUUUAUUGUUUUGAGGCUACCAUCACACAUUUGUAACUAAAUCUUCUAUAGAACAAGAGAACCCCUGCUCAUGUUCUCCCUGUCAUAACGGUGGUACGUGUCAUCCCAAGGAUGAAUUCAAUUUCAUAUGUGAAUGUCCAUAUGGCUUUAUGGGUGAUACUUGCAAUGUCAAAGGAAUUUAAAAUAUUGAUGAAAACAUAAGAAGACAGAAAAAUUGUAACAAAAAUAUUGAUUUACAAAAUAACCUGCUGUUUGGUCAAAAUGAUGAUUUUGUAAAAUUGACAGUAUUAAUAAAGAUCAAAGAAGA